rnacentral:lncRNA from 1 species
CACAGAUGUAGAGCUGGAAAGGACUGCUUUUCUAGAGCACUGGUCUUCAAAGGAGAAUUUUGUUGUUCAGUUGUUUCAGUCGUAUCUGACUAUUCCUGACUCCAUUUAGGAUUUUCUCAGGCAAAGAUUCUGGGGUGGUUUGCCAUCUCCUACUCCAGGGAAUUUUCCAGAUGAGGAAACUGAGGCAAACAGGAUGACGUGACUUAUCUAGGGUCAAAUUAGCUAGUAAGUAUCUGAGGCUGGAUUUGAACUCAGGAAGAUGAGUCUUCUUGACUUCAGGCCCAGUUCUCUAACCACUGUACUGCCCUGCCCUUCAAAAGAAAGUAUGAUCAUCCAAAAGGAUGGUGGGAAGAAAGGUCAAAUCCUAUUCUCCUCUUGCUAGCCAACAAUGGGGUUUGGUGUCAGUACAACAAUAUUCCCCCCAAUAUUCCCCAACGCUCUCUUUCCUCAGCUGUUCAAGCUCCCAAUAUCCCCAGCUCCUGAGCCAUGGAGUGGGCUCAUAGGUUAAAUCUAACCCAUUCUGAAUACCCACAGCAGCAGCUGCAUAGUUUCCAGCAUACCCACCCCUGGACCCUGAUGGUUCAUGGAUGCAACAGGUGCUCCUUGCAGGCUCUUCGCUCUAAGGCAGUGACUGCCUUGUGGGUGAAUAUUUGCCAUUCUGAAGGAGUCAGGAGGAUUGGAGUGAUCCCGUGGCGGCCAGCACUAUCUGGACCAGCUGCUCCCUCCUCCUCUGGAGGGAGAACCCAAGUAAUGAGCUUCAGGCUCAGGCUGGGACAACCCAUUGCUGUUACCAUGGAGGCAGAGCUCAGGAAAGGUUCGGCUGGAAUUCUCUGAGCUUCUCCUCUUGUGAUCCCGGGCCAGCUGCUCUGCCUCAAAAGGCCCAUCUUCCAGGCCCAGGAGGAAGAUGCUGCUCUCGUGACCUACAAAACAGCCACUCUCCUCCCGGAAAAUCAGCCCAACUCAGCUUUGGGGAAGCGGCCAUUUUGAAGAAGUAGGGAGCUUGCUUGCUAGCUGUGGCCCCAGGCUGGACGCUUGCCAAUCCCAGGUUAGAAAGCCUUGACAGCCACCAACCAAAGACUUGGCAGGGAGGGGACCAGCCUGUUUUCCUCAAGAAACUGAAGGGAUGUCUUAGAGAGGAGAGUUCAGACUUGUUCUAUAGGCCUCAGAAGGCAGAGCUAGGAAGAGGGAAGGGGGCUGAGCUGCCAAGAGACCAGCUUGAUAUCAGAAUAAACAACAACAACCUUCCUAACCA